GCAGUCGACGACUCUGGUAUUGAUUGGUGCUUGCAUCAUGAUUUACAUUUGAGUGAGUGGCGAACUGGUGAGUAACACGUGGGAAACCUGCCCAGAAGCGGGGGAUAACACCUGGAAACAGAUGCUAAUACCGCAUAACAACUUGGACCGCAUGGUCCGAGCUUGAAAGAUGGCUUCGGCUAUCACUUUUGGAUGGUCCCGCGGCGUAUUAGCUAGAUGGUGGGGUAACGGCUCACCAUGGCAAUGAUACGUAGCCGACCUGAGAGGGUAAUCGGCCACAUUGGGACUGAGACACGGCCCAAACUCCUACGGGAGGCAGCAGUAGGGAAUCUUCCACAAUGGACGAAAGUCUGAUGGAGCAACGCCGCGUGAGUGAAGAAGGGUUUCGGCUCGUAAAACUCUGUUGUUAAAGAAGAACAUAUCUGAGAGUAACUGUUCAGGUAUUGACGGUAUUUAACCAGAAAGCCACGGCUAACUACGUGCCAGCAGCCGCGGUAAUACGUAGGUGGCAAGCGUUGUCCGGAUUUAUUGGGCGUAAAGCGAGCGCAGGCGGUUUUUUAAGUCUGAUGUGAAAGCCUUCGGCUCAACCGAAGAAGUGCAUCGGAAACUGGGAAACUUGAGUGCAGAAGAGGACAGUGGAACUCCAUGUGUAGCGGUGAAAUGCGUAGAUAUAUGGAAGAACACCAGUGGCGAANGCGGCUGUCUGGUCUGUAACUGACGCUGAGGCUCGAAAGUAUGGGUAGCAAACAGGAUUAGAUACCCUGGUAGUCCAUACCGUAAACGAUGAAUGCUAAGUGUUGGAGGGUUUCCGCCCUUCAGUGCUGCAGCUAACGCAUUAAGCAUUCCGCCUGGGGAGUACGGCCGCAAGGCUGAAACUCAAAGGAAUUGANNGGGCCCGCACAAGCGGUGGANCAUGUGGUUUAAUUCGAAGCUAC
rnacentral:rRNA from 2 species